GAAACUACCCCAAAUAGUUUCUUGCUGCAUCAUGCUGUGCUGCGUGCUUUCUGGUGGUGACCCUGACCUUUGCUGGGAUGGUAGUUAAAACAUUUAUGUGACAGAAGACGUUUUCUGUGUAUGACUUCAAAAAACAAGGGGAAAGCAUCUGACAUCAAACAACACCGUCAGUGCUGCCGACAUCAGGCACUGAGUUACACCGUCUGGGCUGCAGAGAUGCGAUUAAUCUUGUUUGCUGUUAACCAGGUGAACGCAGUCAGGAGCACAACAGUGAGCAAGCUGAAGAUUAGGGAGGAAUAUGAAGAAAAUUUGGAAGGUUUGAGUUUUUGAAAACUAAUAUUUCAUCUGGACUGGAGAGCAUCUGAGUGAGGACCUGAAGGAAGGAUUCCUGCCCAGCAUAAGUGGUGCCACUUUUAUCCAGUAGCAUCCUGACCUAUUCCCAUAGAGAAGGCAAUGAGACAAGUCAGUGGAAGAUGUAUAGAGGGACGUUUGCCAGCUUCCAACAACCCUCCUGAUUGGUUCAGGAGCACAGUGAAGAGGUGAGAGCAUAGCAAAGAGGUGAGGCUGUGGCUGGGCCUGGACAGGGAGUGCAGAGUGCCUCAGCCUGGGAAAGAGUCACAGGUGAGUAGCUUGGCACAUUAGUCACUCACUUAAUGCUAAGCAUUGCAAAACAGUGCUUUAAUCCUGCAGCUGAAGUGCAGUAGUUGGAAGCAGGUGCAUUGUUCUCCUGGAACACUUUUCUCAUCAGUUAUUUGUUCAGCACUCAGACAGGUCUUCAGAAGAAAGCGGCUCAGAGCUGACUCCAGGUGAGUCAUCCUGUGUGGAAAUUAAGGAUCCAAACUUUUAAAUUGUGUCAUUUCUUGCAUUUAAAGGUAAAUUAAGCAGGUAAAGCUCCCCGGAAAUCAGUGAAGCAGUGCUCUGCUGUUGCUCCAGCAUUAGACCUCCUCAGUGCAUCACUGCCAUAGCAGUCACAUGUGACGGGUAACUGUGCACUAAGCCACACAAACUCUGUGUUGUUUAUGGUGUUGGCAAACAGCAGCACAGGACUGCACACUUCAAUAGGUUGUGCUCAGAAGCCUAAAAGGCUGCAUGUAAUUUGACUGUGUUUUGACAAGCUGUACUAACAUUGGUGGUGGUUGGCUCAGGUAGGAGCUCCCCAAAGACUGAAUGCAGUGUCACUGAUAAAUGAGAGCAAGAAACCUGAAUUAAGGUUAAGCUUAGGUCCUCCCACUUGCACAGAAGGGGUCUAAAGGUUUCCCAUGACUAUCUAUGGAUGCUUUUUUUGAUCUCUUGGUGCAAACUGGCUGAUCAGUGUCCCCUUCCUGGCUGCUGUUUGGAGAAGAGCAGCUGCCACACAUCAGGUGCCUGUGCUGUGAUGUUAGCUGUGAUUUCACCUCAUCCUUUGACCUUUCCCACUACCAGAAUCUUUUAAAAGUGAAACUGUGUAGCAGCUUCUUAAUCCAUACUUUGUAAUAGGCUUCCUCUCUACAUUGUGUGGUAUGUGUUCCUCUCAGGUGUGGUGUUCUACAGUUCAGGUUCUGAAAUAGUAAGCUUAUUGUAUAGUUAACAUAAAACUGGUGUUUAGUUGCUGCAGAUUUCUUAUUUUUUAAUUAUAAAUCAAGUUGUUUAUUUAAUCUCUUUGCUUCAAGUAAGUUUGGCUUUUUGGUAGCUCUCCAACCCAAACUGUUAUUUGAAGACUGAGACAACAUUCCUGGCAAGACUGGAACUUAGAAAGAAGUAAGGGGCCAAGAUGGCUCAACUCUUUGGGAUAUAUUCAAACACAGCAGGUGAAUUACAAGAAGAAAUUAAAAGAACAAAAACUACACUGAGGAAAUCACUCCCUGCCAUGUUCUAUACCAACAUCCAAUGCACAACUAAUACCAACUGUAUCAACUGUCAUCCAUUUCCUUUGGGUACUGAAUGAAUAAGUACAAUGUCCUCCGUUUAUUAUGGAAUUAUUAUAGAAUUAUUAUUCUCUUGCUGUAUAAAUCAUUCAGCACGUUUAGUGCAGACAAGUAGAGAUGCUGUAAUCUGCAUACAGUAAGCAGCUAUGAGAGAUUAAUUUCACAUGUGCGGACAAGUCUCUGAGGAGUGCAGCGCACUCACUGCAGGAGCAAAAGUAGCUGUUAGUUCUAACAAGGGAUUCAAUUUAAAAAAAUCAUGCACGUCUAGAAGCCAAGCAAGGAGAGCAAUUGUGCAGAUUACUUACUAAUUACUAACAAAUGUGCAAGCACUUAAAGUUAUAAAAGACAGUAUAGCUAUUGGAAGCUGCCAAGACUUUCAGCAUCAUUCAUUUAAGGGCCAAUUCUGACAUACCCAGUUCAAACAACUGCUGUUUUGUCAUUCUUUCCAUCACUCACUCAAAAGCAGCUCUGGGUUUAUGCAAGGCACUGUGUUUACUGCAAUGGAGAAGAUCAGGCAACAAAACAUCACAGAAGAUGCUUGAGUUUGAAACCUCACAUUUCUGCAGCUACUCCAAAGUUGGAGCAGUGCUGGUGCUCAGUGGUGAAGACCCUCAGCACUGGUGCUGGCUGUUCAUUGCCUGGCUGAUGUCCAUCUUUGCUGGACUGAAUUUGUGGAAUUAUGUGCCUUAUGAUUAAUUUCAGCUGCAUGGGCCAUGUGAGCAGUGUAAAUGAGAGUAUUACCUUGAUGCACACACAGAAAAUGACAUCUCUACUCUUGGAACUGAAAGAGAAAGUCAGAUUGUGUGUGCAUGUGAGGGGAGUAGCAAAUGGGACAAGGAUGAAUGCCGUCUCUUUGGUUCAUAACGUGGUGCAUGCUUGGAGAAACUAGUGAGGGACAUCUGCAAUGUGCUUUCCUGAGCAGGGAAGAGAGAGGUGCUUUUGUCUGCUGGUUUAACUGUGUGCACAGAACGUAUCUGUAUUGUAUCUUAUCUAUUUCAGAGAGCAGAUAGAAACAGAGAAUGAAUAUAUCUUGGUAGCCUGUUUCUUCUGAGCUGUAGCUGCUGCAUUUCUGGAAGUAUUGCACAGCUGUCCUGUAUCCAUUAUACAGCCUUACUGCUUUGAAUAAGUUCCUACUGAAUCUCCUGUCUGCCUCGUAUCAUUUUAUUUGCAUUUAUUAAAACUAGGAAAUGUGGAACUGAAAUAAAAAGGUUAUUUUGUUAGAGCCCAUAACAACUAAGCCACCUUUGUUUUCUUUGUGCAUUUGCAUUACUAGCCCCAGCUCUGUCUUCUGAUAGGCUUUUUUUAUUACAGUAAUGACUGGGAAAUCCACCAGCUUAUUUCACUAAAUCCCCAUUUUUUUCUUCCUUGUGGACACAGCACUAUUUUGGAAACUGGAAGAAAAAAAAAAAACAGAA